AAAACAGUGUAACAACAAUGCCUUAAGACAGGGAGCAAAGCUAUGUAGAUCAACAUUUUUAUUUUUAAAAACUUAGUUCCAAAUGAAAUUAAAAAAAAAAAAAAAGUGACUACUUCAUUUUCCUAAGUGAAGAUGCUCUGAAAAAUUUUCACUGGGAAAAAAAAAAAAGUAAUCAUUUUUUCAUUUCAGAAUUUUGGUAGACAAAUGAGAUAAAGAUGUGACUGGGGUUGAAAGCCUAAUGCCUCUGAGAGCUCCAAUGGGAAAACUUCAGAUUCCAUGCCUGGCAAUGGAGAGCACCCAUGCCUUGGGGAGUCCAGUGCUCUCAGAAGGCUCCAGGAUCUCAGUGAGUUCUCCUUGAGUCUACUCCUCAUUGAAGCUCACCCUCCCAUGGCAUCCCAAGGACAACAACUUGGUCAUUUGCAGUAAUGCCCCUGGAACUGGCUUCAACAAUGUUGCAUCAAACCGUGGUGGCAAGAUUGUUUAUGUUGCAUUUUUUUGGCAUAUUUGGGAUGUAGUUUCCACCACUUUGAAGAUGCCAAUAUCUCCAGUUCUUCCAUUUCUUAAGUGGUAAGCAUCUUUUAAGAAAAUGCUAACCUGGGUCCUGGGAUCACCAAAACCUCAGAACAAACUGCAAAUGCUGCCUCUGAGCAUUGCCCAACAGGUAAAAUUUUUAAAGUAACUGAGGAACCAUGGAGCAAUGGGAGAACAUGACAAAGAGAAUGACAUAAUGUGGAUAAACUAAAGCUCACUAGAAUAAUAGAACUAGAUUAAAAGAACUAAGAUUUCUAAUUUGUUUCAGUCCAUGUUUACUCCAUGGAAGAAAGGUUUAUCAUAAAGGCUAGACAUAGACCUGGUGAUUUUACCAAUAUGUGAUGUAUUUGGGUCCUGAAUAUGAAAUAGAUUCUUUCCAUUGAGUUCUGCCCUUAUCCAGUGGCCACCCUUUCAUCACUUCAGCACUUUCUGAAUUUGUUCUGCCUGAUUAUAUUCAGGUUUGGAGCAGGAGAACUGUUGCUCCAGAGCAAAAAGGCCCCUCACCUGUUGUUACUUAUCUUCUACCAGCUAAUGCCAGACAUUUCCGAAGAAGGUGAGGAAAAUUACAUUGCACAACUGAUCUUUACUCUGCUAAAACUCUGCCUUAGAUGGAGGGGCUGGCAUACAACAAGACUAUCCCAUAAUCCAGAGGUAUGAUGGUUAGAAGUCAGUCACUCUAUCAACCUACAUAUUUACAAGGUACUUGGUAUAAAUACACGAGAAAAAUUGGAUGACCUUAAGCGCAGGAGAAUUGGAAAUAGAAUGAAAUCUAAUAUUACAGAGCCAAGCACUUAGAGACUAAUAACAAGAAUAGCUGCUUUAAGCAGGGUGCUCAUCCACUGGAUACAAUGAAGUUGCAGGAGAAGGAAGUGGGUCCAUGCCUUCAUCAUAGCAC
rnacentral:lncRNA from 1 species